rfam:Erinaceus europaeus unplaced genomic scaffold scaffold00043, whole genome shotgun sequence
GGAUGUGAGGGCAAUCUGGCUGUGACAUCUGUCCUCCCACUGAUCGCCAGGGUUGAUUUGGCUGAUCUGGCUGGCUAGGCAGGUGUCCACUUCCUCCCUCAUUGCUCCAUGUGCGUCCCUCCUGAAGCUGCGCACUCAGUCACAGAAGAUGGCCUUCCCCGAAUAGAGACAGACGGGCCUUUCGUCAAGACUAUAGUAGCUGAGCUCCCCUGCUAGAACCUCCAAACAAGCUCUCAAGAUUAGGGAAGCUAUCAAGGGAAGGGAUUGGAUAUGGAGCUCUGGGGUGGUCAUUGUGUGGAAAUGUAUCCUUCUUA